rnacentral:siRNA from 1 species
UCCGGAGCGCUCUGAUUGGCUGA